AGUUAGAAUGUCAUUAUCAGUUUUUGAACACUGAUCAUGACUUCCCGAUUUGUGUCUCUUCUUUUUUCGCGAACGCGUAAAAUUUGUGUCUCUUCACCUAUAUGUAUAUUGAUUUGCACUACUCUACACACUGCAGAGUCACAAGAUCACAUAAUUUUGUUCAUUGCUGUUUAGUGUGGACUCUUCAUGGCUUCCUCCUUCCGGCUCUCCUCUGUAACCGAAGCGGCGGACGAAGCAAAAGCCCACAAGAAAAUCUACGAUCAACUCCGGCAAGUCGCGGAGACCUUUCCGACGGCGCCGAGCGGCAUCGACGUCCAUACAGCCGCCACCCCGACGGCUGGUACAUGACCACGGCGGGGGUCGUGAGUGCCAUGGUCGUCAAGAGCCACCUGACGGCACGCGCCACCGACAUCUUCCUCGUCACAUUCCCCAAGUCCGGCACCACUUGGAUCAAAGCGCUUCCGUACUCGGCUCUCCACCGCAGGGCUGACGAGCUCCUGGCGCAUAGCCCCCACCAGCUCAUCUCUUUCCUCGAGUCUCAGGUGUUCGUCAAAGAUCGGAUACCUGACUUGAGCUCCCUGCCGGAGCCAUGGCUGUUGAUGACGCAUAUCCCGUCUCAAUCGUUGCCAGACUCCGUCGCAGCCUCAGGCUGCAAGGUGGUGUACCUGUGCCGGGAUCCCAAAGAUUGCUUCGUCUCGCUCUGGCACUUUUGGAACAGGUUCAUGCCAUGGAACAUUGAUGACGCACAUCGACAAUUCUGUAAUGGUGUCUCGUUGUUUGGGCUUUACUGGGAGCACGUCCUCAGCUACUGGAAUUGGCACGUCGAGAGGCCAAGCGAGGUACUCUUCUUGACCUACGAGGAGCUCGCCGCUGACACUCUCGGCCAUCUGAGACGCCUCGCCGAGUUCGUCGGGCGCCCAUUCACAACGGAGGAGCAGGAUGCCAGAGUGGACAGAAAGAUCGUGGAGAUUUGUGCCAUGGAAAGUUUAUCGGGGUUAGAGGUGAAUCGAUCGGGGAUGACCAACUUCACCAAGAAAGACGUGCCAAACAACAUAUCCUUCCGGCGUGGCGUGGUUGGAGAUUGGAGGAAUCACCUGACGCCGGAGAUGGCGAGGAGGAUUGAUGAGAUUACAGAGGUCAAGUUUAAAGGAUCUGGCUUGCUGUUGCAUCCACCGUUUUUACAAGUAAAAAGAGAAUUAAACGAACUAUAGGAGUAUGAUCACGUGUGAAGUGGAGGAACAUCUUCUCAUUAUUGUACUUAUUUCUCUGCUUAAUAAAAAACAUGCAAACCUCUUGCCUAUUUAUGAAAACAAAAAGUGAAAACAUCGUGUGUACUGUAUGUCUAUAAAUGAAAUUAUUGAAAGCUGCCUCGAAUAAUACUCUACUACUAUUAGUAGUAAGUUGUGUUUGUUUUGGUUGUUUGGCUU